rnacentral:misc_RNA from 1 species
AAGUCGUAACAAGGUUUCCGUAGGUGAACCUGCGGAAGGAUCAUUAACAGUUUUUAUGUUUAUGUUUAUGUUGUUGUGAUGUGUAACCCUGUGAAUUGCCAUUAAUUUUGGCAAUAUUAUUUUUUUUUAACCGUUAUUUUUACACCUAUCUUAUACCAUACCAUAUAUAUACAAUUAUCGAAAACUGCCAGCAAUGGAUCACUCGGUUCUU